ACUAAAAUACUCCACAAAUAGUAAGAACAACACCAUGCGGCUGAAGAAGGCCUAGAGGCCCUAGAACGGCCUGAAGGGGAGAGGUUUUUAGUCGGUAGGCGUCCUCCGGGAUGAAUCCGACACUACCCGGUCGCGCGGGCGGCCGGGUGUCUUUUGAAGAUUUCCUCUCCUCCAC
rfam:Agrilus planipennis Contig47642, whole genome shotgun sequence.